GGGUGCUUGGCUGUGACAGGUGCUAAGGGCCUGGGCGUCAGCUCCUUGCGGGAGCGUCACUGCCGACCGGGAAGGGAAAGGCAAUCUUGGGGGCCUCCGGAGUCCGGAGGAUCACUCUGAUGGGUCUCCUGGCCUCAGUGAUGGAAUUAAGAUGACUUCUAUCUCUGAAUCCAAGGGUGACUGAAAGCCGCAAGCUGCAGAAAGGACAAGAGGCAUCACCUAUGUGGAUAAAGACAGCAUCCUGAGUUGAUGGAGAAAUGGCAUAGAAGGAACCAGGUCCUUUGAUGACAUCAUGGAGCAAAGCUGUCUUCUUGCCUUGACCUGCUACCUACCUACAUGGGAAGCUGUUACUUGAGAAGGCAAUAAAAUCUAUCUUCUUUAUUGA
rnacentral:lncRNA from 1 species